AGGGCUAUAGCUCAGUUCGGUAGAGCAACUCGCUUACACGUGCGCCAAUGCUUUUCAAGGGAGCUUAUUAUGCAAUGAACAUAAUUGAUCUUAUUGCAAAAUCAAUGUCUUACUUCAUAGAUUCGAGAGAAUAGGAGAACAGUAGCCUGACAAACAGUCGGUUCAGUCCGAUUCAGGUGCCAAUUCAGGUGCCUAAUCAAAUAGAACCCUUAUUGAUUUGCUAGUUGAUAAGGUAAAUAUCCAGCCCACUAAAUGCUAGGCGUAAUGAGGAUAAGGGCCUCCAAAAAACUUCUUUUCGUUCUAUGAACUUUAAGGUGUAUGAAGUCUCAUAGUCAACUCUUGCAGCGGAACGAUAGAGACUCCAUUUCACUUAGGUUGAUUUAAUUUAGGCCGGAGGCAGACCUAAGUCAAGGUAAUCCUCCUUUGAAACACUUUGGUAUUGCUCCUAGAUAGAUCAUAAUACAAAUAAUCAAUCAGAGCACAGGGAGCCAUCUCAUUAUCUUUCCGUAAAGAAAAACUAUGGUGGACUAACUGAUCUUUACAUCAGUUGAUGAAAGAGCCCAAUGCAAAAAAAUGCAUGUUGGGUCUUUGAAACAGUUCGAAUCAUUUCGAUAAUAAUCCGUUUGAUCUGUUUUACCGAGAAGGUCUACGGUUCGAAUCCGUAUAGCCCUA
rnacentral:tRNA from 1 species